rnacentral:lncRNA from 1 species
CAAAUCUUCGUAUCAUGUUUCUAACCCAACAGACAUCUGUGGGCAAUUAUGCAAGAACAUGACCAAAUGGAAGCACCACAGAGACAUCUACUGUGUCCAUGAAGAAAUAAAAUUCACCAAAUAACAAUAUCAACAGAAUAAUGGAAAAUAAUUCCAGGAGAAACAUUAUUAUAUAAUUUGAACAACUGAUAGUAUUAUAUAUUAUGGACCAAGAGUGGAAAAUGUCUUUAGUAACCCAGGUGGCUGUUACUUGGAAAAAAAAUAGAAUCAGAU